rnacentral:rRNA from 1 species
AGUGAACGCUGGCGGCGUGCCUAACACAUGCAAGUCGAACGGAGUGGCGCACGGGUGAGUAAUGUAUAGCUAAUCAGCCCUACACUAGAGGACAACAGCUGGAAACGGCUGCUAAUACUCUAUAGUGUCGGUUGAGGCUAUAUUGUAUCAGCUAGUUGGUGAGGUAAUGGCUCACUAAGGGUAUGACGCAUAACUGGUCUGAGAGGAUGAUCAGUCACACUGGAAGUGAGGCACGGUCCAGACUCCUACGGGAGGCAGCAGUAGGGAAUAUUGCUCAAUGGGGGAAACCCUGAAGCAGCUGCGCCGCGUAGAGGAUGACACUUUUCGGAGCGUAAACUCCUUUUGUUAGGGAAGCGGUACCUGACGAAUAAGCACCGGCUAACUCCGUGCCAGCCGCCGCGGUAAUAC